rnacentral:sRNA from 1 species
GGCGUGGUGGCUCACGUCAGUAGUCCUUGCACUUUGGGAGGCCGAGGCAGGUGUAUCACUUGAGAUCAGGGGUUCGAGUCCAGCCUGGCCAACACGGUGAAACCCCAUCUCUACUAAAAAUAACAAAAAAUUGCCUGGCCUGGUGGCAUGCACCUGUAGUCCCAGCUACUUGGGAGGCUUAGACAGGAGAAUUGCUUGAACCCGGGAGGCAGAGGUUGCAGUGAGCUGAGAUCGUGCCACUGCACUCCAGCUUGGGUGACAGAGCGAGGCUCCAUCUCAAAAAAAAAAAAAAAAAAAAUAGAAUUAGUGUCUAUUUUUAAAGGUCCAGUUAUGUGCUCCUAUAAAAUUAUUAAACUGUCCUAGAGAUCUGUUAACUAAUUUAUAUAUGUUUUUCUUUUAGGUGGGGACCAAGGCAUACUGAACACAUUUUUUAGCAGCUGGGCAACGACAGAUAUCAGAAAACACCUGCCGUUUAUUUAUAACCUAAGCAGCAUCUCUAUAUACUCCUACCUCCCGGCAUUUAAAGUGUUUGGUGCAAGUGCCAAAGUUGUGCAUUUCCUGGGACGAGUCAAACCAUGGAAUUAUACUUACGAUCCCAAAACAAAAAACAUCAAAAGUGAGGCCCAUGAUCCCAACAUGACUCAUCCAGAGUUUCUCAUCCUGUGGUGGAAUAUCUUUACCACCAACGUUUUACCUCUGCUUCAACAAU